rnacentral:pre_miRNA from 1 species
AUUCUACUCCCUCUGUUGCACAAUACAUGCCUUCUAUUUGUCAAAAUAUAUAUGUAUCUAAACAUUUUUUAGUAUAUAGGUACAUCCAUUUUUGGAAAAAUGGAAGUCAAGUAUUUUGGAACGGUGGGAGUACACA